GACGUUGGGUGGGCAGUAGGGGGAGGAACCCGUGCAGAACUCGGGAAGGUCGCACUCUCCAAGUGGAUCGCGACACACCGAGCCCGCCGCUCGCAGCUGAGGAUGGAGAUACCAUCGGAGGAGCACUGAGCGCCAGGAACCAGCUGACAGGUGGAGGCGUUACAGCAGGGGUCCUCACAUUCCUGACCAAUCAGAGCACAGCAGUGCGUCAACAGGAAGGAUGAAAGAAGUGUGACACUUUCAUUGAGGUUUCCACAGCGAGGUCCUCCCAGCAGGCGUUCUGGCUGCGGUACGUUGAACAGACACAUACCGCCACCGUGCAGCAGGCUGAUGGACAGAUCUGAAGCGCUGCAGCUGCUGAACUGCUGGCCCGGCAUGAACCUGAGGUCAGAGGAUGCAGAUUCAAGAUCAAUCAAUCAAAAUAAAGAGCUGACUCACCACGUUGACGCCUCCCGACCUGUCUCUGGAGCACAUGGACGACUGGGACGCCAUUCCCACUGUGGUACCAUCAAAAGAUCCGCCCCUGCAAAGUCAAAGCAGCAGUCCAGAUAAAUCACACCAAUCAGAUCAAUCGAGUUCUUUAAUCCAGGUGAAUGUUUCCUACAUGACGAGCUGGGCGUUGUCGUGACGAAGGCGUGGCAGCAGGUCUCUGGAUCUCCACUGCAGGAAGUUGUUGAGGGUGUCAAUCGGACUCUUUUCCACCCGGAUCUUGUCGCGGUCGCUCCAGAUCUCCAGACCGGUCAGAGCCACCCGGACGUUCAGAGGACGGUAGAACUGAAAGAGGAAAAAGAAGCGGUCCGGUUCUGCUGCUGCAGUGGAUUUACUCUGGCUGACAAAGACAGGAGGUCGGAGGUCUCACCCAGUCCACCUGGUUGGCCACGUCCAGCAUGCGGUAGAUGAUGGUCUUAUUGUUCUUCUGGUAAUUCAAAAACUAGGAAGAGGAAAAUGACUUUUAGUAGCACUCUGUCAGGAUUAAAAAUCACAAAUGUCUCAAUUUGAUUCAACCACCCAGUGACGCAGUAAGAAAUAACGCUGCCGAUUGUUUUUUAGAGUAUAUUUUGUUGAUGUCUGAAGAAAUGAAGUGCUGCCACCUUAUGUCAAAUACAUGUCAGUGCAGGUAAAGAUUUCUCAACCAAAUAAUGUAGGCACCGGGUUUUAAAAAGCAUGUGUGGAAUUAAUACUUUUAGUCCUGCUGCAUCAAGUUUGAUCCUUUAAGUGGAAUAAUUUGUAACACAAGCAAUUUCAUUUCAUCGUCACAUUUUCCUCACUUUGGGCUCUUUUUCACAGCAGUAAAAAGUCCUGCACAUUUAUGGCAACAGCACAAUCACGGCUAGGAUAAGAGAAUUCAGAAAUGUAAAAUUAUGUGCACUGUGAUAGUUAAAAUGACAGAAAUACAUCUUUUAAUUCUUUUUAAAAGAAAA